CCUUCCUAAUUAUUAAAGUAUUUUUUUUUAUAAAUCUAGAAAGGAUAAAACAGAGUAAUCUUAACAUCAUGUCUCAUAUUAGUGUCUAUGAAAUCUAUAAAGUCUGGGUCUUAUAAUCUCACUAAUAAGAUCUAGUUUUGUUUUCUUCUUCACUUUAUGUUUUUUUCUUCCAAUUUUUCGGUUUUUACCAUCAACAUCCUUUUUGAAUUGUGUUAUGAUGAUCUAUUUUCAUGUAUUUUAAACCCUCAAAAUUUGGCAUGUUUGUAAAAAAGUCGACCCAAGCUAACCUCUCGUUCGCUCACUCAUUUUAAAAUAAAAGGGCCUAACUAGUGUGUGUAUAUAUGUAUAUAAAUUAUAAUUAAAAUUUUAGGUUUUGUGGUUUACAAAUUUUAGUAUUAGCUAAUUUCAAUGUUAGUUUAACGAUACUAUCAUUUGAUAUUUUAAAUCGGGGCACGCACGAAAACGGACAAGAGAUAGCUGUAAAAAGAAUAUCUACUUAAGGUGGCAAAGAAUUCAAGAAUGAGGUAGAGCUACUCGUGAAACUUAAUCACUGUAACUUGGUCCGUGGGCAUAGCAUUGAAGAUUCAUCUAAAAGUUCCAUUCUUGAUGACUGGGAAAAACGCCGCAACGUCAUCAUAGAUGUUGCGAGUGGACUCCAUUACCUCCAUGAAGGAAGCCAUCAAAGGAUAGUUCAUCAGGACCAUAAAGCAACUAGUGUUUCGUUGGACGCAAAUUGGAAGGCCAAAAUUGGAGAUUUUGGCCUAGUAAAAUUGUUUGAACUAAAUGAAUCUCAUCGCACCACAAAUCAUCUUGUUGAACUAAGUGUAUAUGUGAGUCCAUAAGGGGUACUUUAAUAAAUUUGUUUUAUACCCAUAGUGCCAAAGGUUUAUAUUUCUUGGAUAGCGGUUACAUAUCUCCUGAGUACAUCCGGUAUAGGCGCUUCUCGUCUCAAUCUGACGUCUUUAGUUUCGGUGUACUGGUAUUAGAAGUUAUAGCAUGUCAAAAGAAUGUACCUUCAUGUGAUGAUGCGCGAAGCCAAAUGCUUCAUAACCUUGGAUACGAAUGUUGGCAAGGGAAAGAGACAAGACAAAUGAUGGAUCCUUGUUUAACUACCGAAUCAGAUUCGGUAGAGGGGUCACUAGAUGCAUCCACAUUGCGUUAUUAUGCAUUCAAGAAGACCACAAAUCUAGGCCACACAUGAGUUCAGUCGUUGAUUGGCUUAAUACCAGAUCCAAUCCCAACUAAUUAUGAUAAUCCAACCAUAUCAAAUAGUAUGUCGGUGUCUCUAUUAAUGUAUAGAUUGUAGAUAUUUUAGUUUAAAGAUACUAUCAUUUGAUAUUUUAAAUCA